rnacentral:ncRNA from 1 species
GAAAAUACGUUGAAGAGAAGAGUAAACUAAAGCUUCAUUUACAGAGAGAGAUUACGUUUGGUGUAAGUAUUCUUAUUUGAAAUUAGUUGAAGACCCCCUCUGAGUGACUCUAAUAAAGUCCGUUUUAUCACGUUACGAUAACUACUUUAAGAGGCCUUUUUAGGCAAUUAAGGGUGGAACCGCGGGAAUAUUACGCUCUCGUCCCUUUU